UACGGAGGUGCGAGCGUUGUCCGGAAUCACUGGGCGUAAAGGGCGCGUAGGCGGCAUGCCAAGCGUGUGGUGAAAGCCCGGGGCUCAACCCCGGGUCGGCCGUGCGGACUGGCAUGCUCGAGCACUGUAGGGGCGGGUGGAAUUCCGGGUGGUAGCGGUGGAAUGCGUAGAGAGUCCGGAAGAACACCGGUGGCGAAGGCGGCCCGCUGGGCAGGAAGGAAGGCGUAAGCUUCCGGCUGACGCUGAGGCGCGACAGCGUGGGGA
rnacentral:rRNA from 1 species